rnacentral:rRNA from 1 species
AUACGUAGGGUGCGAGCGUUAAUCGGAAUUACUGGGCGUAAAGCGUGCGCAGGCGGUUUUGUAAGACAGGCGUGAAAUCCCCGGGCUCAACCUGGGAAUGGCGCUUGUGACUGCAAGGCUAGAGUGCGUCAGAGGGGGGUAGAAUUCCACGUGUAGCAGUGAAAUGCGUAGAGAUGUGGAGGAAUACCGAUGGCGAAGGCAGCUCCCUGGGACGAGACUGACGCUCAUGCACGAAAGCGUGGGGAGCAAACAGGAUUAGAAACCCUUGUAGUCC